CAACAACGAGGGCUCCGACUCGAGGUGACCCCGGCCCGCCCCCGCUGACCCCGCCGUCCCCGUCGCCCCCACGCCGGCCGCCGCCUGACCACAGCGCAGUCCGCUGCCGCAGCGUCCGGCCGCAGCUAUGGUGCGAUUGUGGCGCGGACUGUCUUACCAGAUGAGCUCUACGUCACGCACAUUACGACAACAGACCAAUAAGAAGAAACAAACUGACCAACUAUAUCAAGGAAUUGUGCAUCUUAAAUAAGUAGAGUGUAAAACAAAAAUUUUACAGUGAUAUGUGAAAAACAGAACAACCUGUCUCACCUUCUGUACAAUGUGUGUAAUCGUAGUUAGCCCUUGCAGCAUAUAUGUGUUUUUUCAAAUAAGAAAUAUUUUUGUGGAUAAUUAAUGACAAAUAUUUAUGUAAUUGUGAUGUUACAAUUGUGUAUUCUAUUGGAUAAUGUGGCUUCAUUCGUGUUUGUGUACUCCAAAGUUUCACAUCUGUUUAGAAGCUUUACAAAAUUCGCCACAAUAUUCAAUUUAAACUGCAGAAGCUAGAAAACGACUGUUGGAUAAAAGCCGAGUCCAAUAUACGCCGUGGAGACAUCAUUUAGAAAUGCAAGAAAAAAGCUCCUGAAAUUCGGUAGUUUUCUUUACAGUCCAAGAUAAAUAAUAUUCCAGAUCAGGCAUGAGCCUAUGAAAAGCAACUGAAACUCGUCGUAUUGGCCCAAGACGUCUUGUCGUGUAUUUAACUCCCGUUUGGAUUGUGUGAACUGUUGUGAGUCUUCUCAGCUUGCCGGCGGUGUUCCGUGUUGUUAUAGCCUGCACAACCGGAAUUAUCACUUCAGUCUGUGAAUGUCACAACAUUUCUGUAUAUAGUGAGAUAAAAUUUCUGUGAAAAGAGAAAUAGUAACAUCGUUGGUCGCCUCUGCGUAUAUUGUCAUAGCGCUUAAGGGAUGAGUACUCAGACGGAAUGAAUAUGCGUUUUCAAGCUCUUAGUCAUUAUAAAAGAAGAGAGGAAGAAAUAUUUUACUUGUUGCCAGAAUUCAGCUGGAUUCUUUGGAGCUGCAACGUGCAAAACCAUAUUUGGCUUUUAGACUGCGCAGUUUUAAGGUCGCUUCCUAGUUUUCAAAAUUUCAGGAAGCACAGGUUUUCAGCUUCAAAGAAUCGGCGUAUCUCUUACGGGUCAAUUUCUCUCUCCAAAAAGUAAAAACUAUAAGUGUCCAAAAUCUAUAACAUAUUGUAAAAUUUGUGUAAAUAUUGUUGUUAUUGUAAUCGUUUCUUGCCACCUAUCACAUCGCCUGAUGCAUCAACUGAAAUGUCUACAUUCUGUGUAUAUAACACGCAACAAUUAAAAUUAUAAACGG